rnacentral:rRNA from 1 species
UUUAUACGGUAANAAAUUGACCUACGUGUAGGUUAUUGAAGGUACCGUACGAAUAAGGAUCGGCUAACUCCGUGCCAGCAGCCGCGGUAAUACGGAGGAUCCAAGCGUUAUCCGGAUUCAUUGGGUUUAAAGGGUCCGUAGGCGGGUCUUUAAGUCAGAGGUGAAAGCCUGCAGCUCANCUGUGGAAUUGCCUUUGAUACUGGAGACCUUGAGUGUGCGUGAAGUAGGCGGAAUAAGUCAUGUAGCGGUGAAAUGCAUAGAUAUGACUUAGAACACCGAUUGCGAAGGCAGCUUACUAAAGCACUACUGACGCUGAGGGACGAAAGCGUGGGGAGCGAACAGGAUUAGAUACCCUGGUAGUCCACGCCGUAAACGAUGAUAACUCGCUGUCGGCGAUAUACGGUCGGCGGCCAAGCGAAAGCGUUAAGUUAUCCACCUGGGGAGUACGCCGGCAACGGUGAAACU